CAUGAAAAAGCGGCGGCGGCGGGAGAGAGGAGGAGGCGGCGGCGGGGCAGCGAAACUACGGUAGCUGCCCCCUGAGCUGGUGGUGUGGCUUUGUGGGGAGGGCGUAGUUCCUAAUCCCCUUUCUGGGCAGCCGCCGGGGCUCGGGGCUGUGAGCGGCCAUCAGGCUGCCUCCCCGGGCCCCCUGCCUCCGCCAUGUUCCGCAGGGCACGCCUUAGCGUGAAGCCGAAUGUCAGGCCUGGUGUAGGCGCCAGGGGCUCCACAGCUUCCAAUCCCCAGCGUGGACGGGAGUCUCCCAGGCCGCCGGAGCCUGCCACGGACUCUGCUUCCAAGCCAGCGGAGCCCACAGAUGUGCCCACAGUCGAUUUCGGUGGAGCGGAGCCCCAAGAAAAGGCUCCUAGGAGCAGUACUGAAAAGACUGGUAGUGACAAUGAUGUUGAAGAAUCCAGUAGAUCUUCCUCUACUGUUUCACAGAGAAGAAAGCGAAUAUCAAGUACUUCUAGUCUGGUUAAGUCUAGUGUCAGUGUUCCUUCAGAAUCUCAUCCCUUAUCUACAGUUAACCAAGAGGCUCCACAGCCAACUGCCACUCCAACAAAAGAGAAACAGCCAUGUUCAGACAGAUACAGAAUAUACAAAGCCCAGAAACUGAGGGAAAUGUUAAAAGAAGAAUUGAGAAAAGAGAAGAAACAAUGGAAAAACAAAUAUGCUAUAAAUGAAAGUCAGAGGCCACCAGAUCGUUCAAAAAUGACUAUGAGAGACUUCAUAUAUUAUCUACCAGAUAACAAUCCAAUGACUUCUUCACUGGAACAAGAAAAGAAAACUGAAAAGCCAUCGACUCCAGUCCAGAUAAGAGAGCAAGAAGGUAAGAGUACUCCUAAUGCUGAAGAUAAUGAAAUGGAAGAAGAGACAGAUGAUGGGCCAUUACUGGUUCCUCGAGUAAAAGUGGCAGAAGAUGGUUCCAUUAUUUUGGAUGAAGAAAGUUUAACUGUAGAAGUUUUAAGAACAAAAGGCCCUUGUGUUGUUGAAGAAAAUGACCCCAUAUUUGAGCGCGGUUCUACAACUACAUACUCCAGCUUUAGGAAAAACUAUUACUCUAAACCAUGGUCAAAUAAAGAAACAGAUAUGUUUUUUUUAGCCAUCAGCAUGGUAGGAACUGACUUUUCUAUGAUCGGACAACUUUUUCCUCACAGAGCAAGGAUAGAAAUUAAGAAUAAAUUUAAACGGGAAGAGAAAACAAAUGGAUGGAGAAUAGACAAAGCAUUCCAGGAAAAGCGCCCUUUUGACUUCGAUUUUUUUGCUCAUUUGCUUCAGAAAGUUCUUGCUGAAGAAGAGAAAAGAAAACAAAAAUAUGUUAAAAAUCACAGUUUAAAGGAGAAGAAAUCCACCAAACCACGGAAAAAUGUAAAAGUGAAAAAAGUUGCCUGUGAAGGAGUGAAUAAUGAUCCAGAUGAGUCUAUGAGUUCUAGAAUUUCAGACACAGAAAGAUCUCAGAAGGAUGCUCAGACAGUUGAAGAAGAGUCUCUGACCUUACCAAGGGAGAAUACAGAGCAGGUUGCAUUAGAAGUAGACCUAAAUCAAAAGAAAAGAAGGAGGAAGAAGCAAGAUGGAGCUAAUGAACUGGAAGUAAACAAUCUUUUAGAAAAUGCCACUGUUCAGGCGGGUCCUUCUAAAGGAGAAAAACACAAGAAUAAAUGUCAGGCUAUAAGGCCCGAGCUAAAGGAAGGUGAAUGCAGUAAGGAGCAGAUGCUUUCCUGCACACAAAACAUAGAUGGCAUUGUGGGUUUUGCCUCCACUGAAAAAGUUGAGAAAAGAACUGACCCCAUCCUUUCAUUAAGUAAUCAACAAGAUGCCACGUCAGUAGCAACUGAGUCUUCAGAAUCAAGCACUUCAGAUUUGCCUUCAUUCGAAGUUGGAAUUAGAGCAUUGUGUGAGGUGAAUAAUGCUGAGGGUAGUUGUAUAGAAGAAAGAAAUGUUGACCUAAAAAAUAAUUCACUGGAAAUUGAUCAAACAGAAAAUGUUAAACCAAUGUUGAGAGGUCGCUUCCAGAGACCUAAACCCAAUUUGUCAAGGGCUGGGAAGAAAUCAGUUCUUUCACAAGGCAAAACAGAGGCAGAGAGCAAGAAUUCACAUUCAAAAACUUCAGUUGAAAAGAACCACGUGGAAAAAGAUAAAAUGAAUACAUUGGACAUUUUGAGAAUGGAGACUACAGAGAGAGAGAAUCCAGAAGCUGAAACUUUAUCUAUUUUGGGUGAAAAAAAUUGUCUGCAGGAAGGGAGUCAACUAAAGGCUUUAAGACCUGCACAAGUGAGGGGCCGAUUGCAAAAGCCAAAGCCAAAUGUAGGUAAAGCUGCUGAAAGAAAAGAAAUUCUCAUAUCACAGGAAGAAAUUGGGGCCAAUGUAGAGAAGAAUGAAAAUGAAUCCUGUGCUGAUAGAGAUACUCCUCAACACAUGGAAGAUCAAUCACAUAAAGAUUUUGAAGAGGAAGAUGUCAUAUUACAGCCUGAGAAAAAUGAUUCUUUUCAAAAUAUGCAGCCAGAUGAGCCCAAGGUUCUUAAUGAAUGUCUACGCGUUCAAGAGAAUAAUAAGGCAAAUAAACUUAACCAAGUCCCAAUUCUAAGGACUCGAUUUCAGAAACCAAAGCCAAAUAUAGGAAGAGGAACUGGAAGGAGAGAAAUUUCCUCAAAGGAAGAGGUACUAGAGAAGAUUCUUGUCUCUGGGGAAAUGGCGGCAGCAUUGAGAGAAACUGUAAGACUAGACACCUCACCAAAGGAGAUGGUACCAGCAGAGAUUAAUACUAAAGAAAUGCAGUCAGAUUUAAAAGAAACUGGAAGAAGAGCCAUUUCUCCCAGGGAGAAGAUUCUAGAUGUGAUUGAUGUCACCAUGGAAAUGGAGACAGGUUUGAAAGCAACGGGAAGAGAGAUUUGUCUAAGGGAGAAGACGCCAGAGGUGAUUGAUGCCACUGAGGAAAUAGACAAAGAUUUGGAAGAAACUGGAAGAAGAGAAAUACCCCCACAGAAAAAUGGCCCAGAGGAGGUUAAGCCUCUAGGUGAAAUGGAGACAGAUUUGAAAGCAACUGGAAAUGAGAGUUCCCCAAGGGAGAAGACACCAGAGGUGACUGAUGCCACUGAGGAAAUAGACAAAAAUUUGGAAGAAACUGAAAGAAGAAAAAUAUCCCCAAGGGAAAAUGGCCCAGAGGAGGUCAAGCCUGUAGAUGAAAUGGAGACAGACUUGAAAGCAACUGGAAGAGAGAGUUCCCCAAGGGAGAAGACACCAGAGGUGAUUGAUGCUGCUGAGGUAAUAGAGAUAGAUUUGGAAGAAACUGAAAGAGAAAUAUCGCCACAGGAAAAUGGCCCAGAGGAGGUCAAGCCUGUAGGUAAAAUGGAGACAGAUUUGAAAGAAAUUAGAGAAGAAAUUUCCCAAAGGGAAAAGGUGCUAGCAGAGAUCAGUGCUAUAAGGGAAAAGGAGAUUGAUUUGAAAGAAACUGGAAAAAGAGACAUUCCCAUGAUGGAGAAAGUAUCAGGAAAGAUGGCUGUUGUUGAAGAAAUGGAGGCAGAUUUGAAAGAAACUGGAAGAGAAAAUUUUAGAGAGAGAGGAUCUGAAGAGAUCUGUGUUACUGAGGAAAAGGUGGCAGAAUUGAAAAAAACUGGAAAAACAGACAUUUCUCCAAGGGAAAACGAGCUAGAGGAGACCAGUACCUCAAGACAAACUGACACACAUUUAAUGCAGAGCAGUAGCAAUGACUGCAGUGCUAUGCCUUCACUAGAUAUUCAAAACAUUAGCAGUGAAGUACUGUCGAUGAUGCACACACCUGUAGAAGAAAAAAGAAAUUCUGAAAAAGAAGUAUCAAGUCACUUCAGUCAUUUCAAGAUUUCUUCACAGACUCAUGAAUCUGAUAAAACAGAAUUCCAGGGGAUUCAAUCUCCAGAUGUUCCAGAGCAGUUUUCAGAUAUUAAUUUAAGCAAACCUCUUCCUCAAGAACAGAAGCCACUUGAAAUUAAACCAGCACCUUUUGUGAGGAGCCGAUUCAAAAGACCAAAACCAAACUUAGCAAGAGCAGCUUUGAAGAGAGAGACUACAGAAUCAGAAAAAUAUAUAUAUGAGAAGAAAUCAGAAACCAAGAAAAUGGAGACCAUUGUGAUGCAACAAAAUAAUGAACAAACUGAUACUCUCCCUUUUCAACAUGAUGAAGCUUCUCUAAUGAUAUCAAGAGAAAAAGACACAUCAGGUCACAGGAAUGAGGAGGCUGUGAUAUUGCCAUGUACACAGACUGAAAGGAACCUUUCACCUUCAAAUUCUUGUGAACCUAAAGAGGAGUCUCAGUCAGCACCAGUCCAGAAAAAUGACUCAGUUGUUUCUGUGGGGACUAAUAAUAUAAACACUUUCCAGCAAGAAAUGAAGGAAAGUGUUAUCCAAACUGCUGUACAAGUAAGGGGCCGACUUCAGAGACUGAGACCAAAUGUAAGAAAGACAGGACAGAAGCAAAUAGUAGACAAAGGUGAAGCCAAAGGCAUAAUUAAGGAAGAAAGAACAAUAUUACCAAAAGAUGAAACUGAAAAGAAAGUCUUAACUGUGUCAAAUUCUCAAAUUGAAACUGAAAUUGAAGUUCCAUCCUCCACAGUUCCAGAACACAGAAUGUAUGAAAAUCAAAGUCAGGUGGUUCUUGUAGAAAACCUUCAUGUUAACAAAACAAAUGAAACAAUCAGACAUGAAAAUAAACUGUAUGUUCCUAGUUCAGCACAAAUGACAAGAAGGAAAUUCCAAAAGGCUAAGCCAAAUUUGGGAAGAGCACACAGUAAGAAAGAGGAACCAGUUUUAGAAAAAGGCACAACAGAUCAGGGCAAGGAAGGCAAGCCAGAAGAUCAUUUGCUGCAGAAAGGAGCUUCCAGCACCCAGCUCCUUCUAAAAGAAAAAGCUGAGCUUCUGACAUCUCUGGAGGUUUCAGCAAGAAAAGAUUGUGUAGGUUCCAAAGAGUCUGCUUUGGCAAAAAUAGAUGCUGAAUUAGAAGAAGUUGGACCAUCAAGAAGGGUUGGAGAGGAAACUGUAGGAGAUAAUUCACUAUCUUCAGUUGUUGAAGAGCAAUAUCUCAAUAAACUAACAAGCUGUCCACAACCGUUAAAAGAAACAAAUUACUCUAACAUUGCCCUGGAUGGGAAAACAACUAUCUCUUCUACAUCUGAGUAUGAGAGAAAUCGUGGUGAAAGGAGAAGUCAUAAAAAGAUCAAACCAAAUGUCACCAGAGGUCGUGGAUCAAAACGAGUUCGGGGUAAGACCUCUAAGAAGGAACCUAGAGCUUCCAAGGCCAUGCUGGUGACUCUUCGGGCUUCCCAGGAAGAAGAAGAUGAUGCUGACGAUUUUGAGUCUGACUAUGAAGAAGAAAGCUAUCAUCUUGCUCCCGAAGAAGUAAACAAAGCUCCAGUAUUUGUACCUGUUGGUCUCAGAUCUCCUGAACCUGUUUCUGCUCAGAUUGAGGAAACAAUGGAAGAGCUUGAAAUAACUGUGAAUGUCCCAGAUGUAGGAUGCAUAGCUGUUGUUGAACAUGAGCUACCAAACACAGAUGUGACUACUGAAGAAAUGAAACAAGAAGAAAAUUUGAGUGCACCGUUUGAAAUGACCACAAGUGAACAUAUCCAAGAUGAACCAGGUACCAAUGAUGGAAGCACCGAAGCUGCAAUAACUUUACUUACAAUGGGAGAUCUAGUAUUGCAGUCAGAGAUCAGUAGUGAACAGGGUGAUGUAGGAGCGUGUAUACUUCCUCAUGUUCAUUCAAAGGAUAAAAGCCAUAUUCCUUCUAGCCUAGAUAAUGUAAAUCACAAAAUUGUUCAUGAAUGUCAGGAGCUUUCUUCACCUGUCAUUACUACAUCUCCUGCAUCAUUUGAAGAAAACAAGAUUGUAUUGGAGGAACAAAGUUCCAGAGAAGAAAUAAGUUUAAUGGAGAAAGUAAAGGAGAAUGCUACACCAACCAGGAAUACAAUUUCUAAUGUGACCAGUAAUUUGAGAAUAAGAAGUAGACUUGCCAAGCCUAAACCAAAUCUUGAGAAGACUUUAGGGACCAACAGACUUGAUGAUUAUCAGGAAGUUUCCAGUUUGUGUGUAACCAAAGGGGCAGAAAUGGAAACUCAAAGAGAAACAGAGAAAAAUGCUUCCAAAGCAACAGAAUUGGAAAAUAAAAACCUCGGACCAGUUACAACAGCAGAGAAUAAGGAUCAGAGCAAACUGGCAUGUGUACAUGGUAUCAAAGGGACCAGUAUUUCUUCAGAAGUAAACCUAACUGAAAGAAACGAAAAUCAAGAAGAGAGCUCUCAGGAGGUUCACAUGUUGUCAGUUGCUCCAGUUGCUUUCUCUGAGACAGGGCCCUGCACACUUGGUUUGGAUAGGGGUCUUGGUGAAAAUUCUGUUGAAGAGCCCCAGAUAAAGGACUCUAAAGGAGACAGUGUGCUUACACUUCCUGUGCCAGAGGUAAAAGAAUGUACAGUAUAAUAAGGGAUAGCAAGGUGUUUUCCUCCAUUAAAAAAAAAAAAAGGUAUAAUUUACAUACAAUAAACUUCACCUCUUUUAUCUUCAUUUUUCUUUAUUUCUUUUUUUUUUUUUUGGAGACAGUCUUGUUCUGUUGCCCAGGCCAGAGUGCAGUGGUAUGAUCUCAGCUCACUGCAACCUCUGCCACCCAGAUUCAACAGAUUCUCCUGCCUCAGCCUGCCAAGUAGCUGGGACUACAGGCA
rnacentral:sRNA from 1 species